rnacentral:rRNA from 1 species
UUGAAAGGGAAACGAUUGAAGUCAGCCAUGCCGGCGGAAUCAACUUAGGGGAAACUCUGAGUGCACUUCUUCGCUUGGCAGGUUAGCGUCGAUUUUGGAUGUCAUAAAAUGACUGGGGGAAGGUAGCUCUUUCGGGAGUGUUAAGCCCUUUGUAGAUGUGAUGUCUGGGAUCGAGGAUUGCAACGGAUACCCUUUGGGCUAGCCGCCUGAUCUCUGAUACGUGGCCUUGGCAUCGAAAGCUUGCUUAUGGUAUCAAGGUAUUACGGUCAAAAGGUUAGAACGGAUUACAUUCGUUAAGGAUGUUGACGUA